rnacentral:rRNA from 1 species
UACGUAGGGAGCAAGCGUUGUCCGGAAUCAUUGGGCGUAAAGAGCGCGUAGGUGGCUUUAUAAGUCCGUUGUGAAAGUCAAAGGCUCAACCUUUGAAAGCCGAUGGAUACUGUGAAGCUAGAGUACGGAAGAGGCGAGUGGAAUUCCUGGUGUAGCGGUGGAAUGCGCAGAUAUCAGGAGGAACACCGGUGGCGAAGGCGGGUCUCUGGGCAGUAACUGACGCUGAGGAGCGAAAGCGUGGGGAGCGAACAGG